GACGAACGCUGGCGGCGUGCUUAACACAUGCAAGUCGAACGGAAAGGCCCUGCUUUUGUGGGGUGCUCGAGUGGCGAACGGGUGAGUAACACGUGAGUAACCUGCCCUUGACUUUGGGAUAACUUCAGGAAACUGGGGCUAAUACCAGAUAGGAGCUCCUGCUGCAUGGUGGGGGUUGGAAAGUUUCGGCGGUUGGGGAUGGACUCGCGGCUUAUCAGCUUGUUGGUGGGGUAGUGGCUUACCAAGGCUUUGACGGGUAGCCGGCCUGAGAGGGUGACCGGCCACAUUGGGACUGAGAUACGGCCCAGACUCCUACGGGAGGCAGCAGUGGGGAAUAUUGCACAAUGGGCGGAAGCCUGAUGCAGCAACGCCGCGCGCGGGAUGACGGCCUUCGGGUUGUAAACCGCUUUCGCCUGUGACGAAGCGUGAGUGACGGUAAUGGGUAAAGAAGCACCGGCUAACUACGUG
rnacentral:rRNA from 1 species